AAAAUGUUUCCCCCCAUGGUCACAAUCAUGAAAGACAGUGGAAUAGAAGAAUCCAGCACUCACCAGCUCCUCCAUGUGAUGGAACCAAAGCAACAGGUGUGUGGCUGCAUAUUGAGAUUUCUUCAAUGUGACCUGUGUGAGCAGUGCCACCCAAGGGUGCUACAUAUUGGAGCUCUGGGAAGGUUCAUGCUGAGAGCACAAAUAAGUGGGGACAAAUGCAAGUGUGGAGUCAGAACUUGCAGGUUGAGCAGAGAAGAAAAAUAUUGUCAAUUGACCAUGUGUGUUUACAAAUGCCACCCUGAGAUUGAACUUUUAAAGUUUUAUAAAUACUUCCUUAUUGACGUAACCCCUUUUUGUGUAAGGAUGAAUAAACUUUAGAUCUUAGUUUAUUUUCAUAUGACCAAAUGUCAUAUGUGCAUAUAUUAAAA
rnacentral:lncRNA from 1 species